AGUGUUCGAUAAGUCAUAACGACUCUCGGCAACGGAUAUCUCGGCUCUCGCAUCGAUGAAGAACGUAGCGAAAUGCGAUACGUGGUGUGAAUUGCAGGAUCCCGUGAACCAUCGAGUUUUUGAACGCAAGUUGCGCCCAAAGCCAUUCGGCCGA
rnacentral:rRNA from 1 species